rnacentral:lncRNA from 1 species
AUGCUUUGUGCCAACUCUUUACAAGGCUACAGCGCCUCUGAUGAAGCUUGCUUGAAUAAUAUUAUUCUAGUUCGCUAUGGUUUUCAGGCUGAUUUUGAUUUCCUAGCUCCUACCAAAGAGUUUUUUGAAAAAGGCUGCACCAUGUGUUUCAGUCCUGGAACUUGCACAUGGAACAGUCUGGCAGGCUGUCCUGAAGCAGCAAUUUGUAAUGUUUACCGAGCAAUUCAAAGUACAGAGAUCAAUCACACGGUUGGAAUUAUCAUUGCACAGUGGCCGGGAAAAUUUAACCUAACCCCAUACCUCUUCUCUUGGCCUGGAUUUCUGGUUGGUGCUGGUCUCAGCUGGAAUGCUAACACACACUUGGAUUUUGUCAAGAGUAGGCUAGCAGCAUUACUGGAUAUGCACAUUUUCAAUGAUGAAAGGAUGAUCAUAGGUCAGUGUAUUAUUGAACUGGGGCUCAUUGAAACAAUGGCCUUGCGUUUAUCUCGCGCUCAAGAGCAAGAUGACAUAUCUGAUCUUCCACCAAAUAUUGGCUCGUUUUUGUAUCGACUUGUCGUUGACUCAGAUAAUGUGUCUCUGGAGACACUUUCUACAGAUAAUUUUAAUAAACUGAUGAGGCUCAUAAAAAAAGUACAAAAUGAAAUUUAUCGCUCAAAAUUGGAGUGCCUCAACGGUGAGAUGGUGAUUCAAGAACUUCUGGUGUCUGUCGAUUUGAUGUUGUGUGCUUGUAAGAUAGGCAGGGCCCUAGUAAGCAAAGGCAUCAACCCGAAUAGUAAUCUGGGAUUAGCUGUCAUCAAUCUUGGAGUCUCUAACUUAUCGCCUACCCUGAGGACUGACAUUGCCAACAAGCUUCUCGCUCUGAUAGAGCAAUAUAAGGGGAUCUGGUUGCAAAGACAUGUUCCUGCUGGUCUGAAGUAUUCCCUUGGAGUUCUCUCAACAGCCCUUCAACGAUUCGUGCCUCAACCAGAAUUCCAAUGA